rnacentral:tRNA from 1 species
GCACUCGUAGUUCAAUGGAUAGAAUGACAGAUUCCGAUUCUGUUGGUUGUGGGUUCGAGUCCCGCCGAGUGCA